UACAGAGGGUGCAAGCGUUGUUCGGAAUUAUUGGGCGUAAAGAGCUUGUAGGCGGUUUGUCGCGUCUGCCGUGAAAAUCCGGGGCUCAACCCCGGACUUGCGGUGGGUACGGGCAGACUAGAGUGUGGUAGGGGAGACUGGAAUUCCUGGUGUAGCGGUGAAAUGCGCAGAUAUCAGGAGGAACACCGAUGGCGAAGGCAGGUCUCUGGGCCACUACUGACGCUGAGAAGCGAAAGCGUGGGGAGCGAACAGG
rnacentral:rRNA from 1 species